rnacentral:rRNA from 1 species
CAGUCGCCACGGGAAUACGUAGGGUGCAAGCGUUAAUCGGAAUUACUGGGCGUAAAGCGUGCGCAGGCGGUUUGUUAAGACAGAUGUGAAAUCCCCGGGCUCAACCUGGGAACUGCAUUUGUGACUGGCAAGCUAGAGUCUGGCAGAGGGGGGUGGAAUUCCGCGUGUAGCAGUGAAAUGCGUAGAUAUGCGGAGGAACACCGAUGGCGAAGGCAGCCCCCUGGGCCAACACUGACGCUCAUGCACGAAAGCGUGGGGAGCAAACAGGAUUAGAUACCCCGGUAGUCCCUGUCUCUUAUAC